GGAGCUCCUGCUGCAUGAAGGGGGUGGGAAAGUUUCGGCGGAUGGGGAUGGACUCGCGGCUUAUCAGCUUGUUGGUGGGGUAGUGGCUUACCAAGGCUUUGACGGGCAGCCGGCCUGAGAGGGUGACCGGCCACAUUGGGACUGAGAUACGGCCCAGACUCCUACGGGAGGCAGCAGUGGGGAAUAUUGCACAAUGGGCGGAAGCCUGAUGCAGCAACGCCGCGUGCGGGAUGACGGCCUUCGGGUUGUAAACCGCUUUCGCCUGUGACGAAGCGUGAGUGACGGUAAUGGGUAAAGAAGCACCGGCUAACUACGUGCCAGCAGCCGCGGUGAUACGUAGGGUGCGAGCGCUGUCCGGAUUUAUUGGGCGUAAAGGGCUCGUAGGUGGUUGAUCGCGUCAGAAGUGUAAUCUUGGGGCUUAACCCUGAGCGUGCUUUCGAUACGGGUUGACUUGAGGAAGGUAGGGGAGAAUGGAAUUCCUGGUGGAGCGGUGGAAUGCGCAGAUAUCAGGAGGAACACCAGUGGCGAAGGCGGUUCUCUGGGCCUUUCCUGACGCUGAGGAGCGAAAGCGUGGGGAGCGAACAGGCUUA
rnacentral:rRNA from 1 species